rnacentral:rRNA from 2 species
UGGUAUUGAUUGGUGCUUGCAUCAUGAUUUACAUUUGAGUGAGUGGCGAACUGGUGAGUAACACGUGGGAAACCUGCCCAGAAGCGGGGGAUAACACCUGGAAACAGAUGCUAAUACCGCAUAACAACUUGGACCGCAUGGUCCGAGCUUGAAAGAUGGCUUCGGCUAUCACUUUUGGAUGGUCCCGCGGCGUAUUAGCUAGAUGGUGGGGUAACGGCUCACCAUGGCAAUGAUACGUAGCCGACCUGAGAGGGUAAUCGGCCACAUUGGGACUGAGACACGGCCCAAACUCCUACGGGAGGCAGCAGUAGGGAAUCUUCCACAAUGGACGAAAGUCUGAUGGAGCAACGCCGCGUGAGUGAAGAAGGGUUUCGGCUCGUAAAACUCUGUUGUUAAAGAAGAACAUAUCUGAGAGUAACUGUUCAGGUAUUGACGGUAUUUAACCAGAAAGCCACGGCUAACUACGUGCCAGCAGCCGCGGUAAUACGUAGGUGGCAAGCGUUGUCCGGAUUUAUUGGGCGUAAAGCGAGCGCAGGCGGUUUUUUAAGUCUGAUGUGAAAGCCUUCGGCUCAACCGAAGAAGUGCAUCGGAAACUGGGAAACUUGAGUGCAGAAGAGGACAGUGGAACUCCAUGUGUAGCGGUGAAAUGCGUAGAUAUAUGGAAGAACACCAGUGGCGAAGGCGGCUGUCUGGUCUGUAACUGACGCUGAGGCUCGAAAGUAUGGGUAGCAAACAGGAUUAGAUACCCUGGUAGUCCAUACCGUAAACGAUGAAUGCUAAGUGUUGGAGGGUUUCCGCCCUUCAGUGCUGCAGCUAACGCAUUAAGCAUUCCGCCUGGGGAGUACGGCCGCAAGGCUGAAACUCAAAGGAAUUGACGGGGGCCCGCACAAGCGGUGGAGCAUGUGGUUUAAUUCGAAGCUACGCGAAGAACCUUACCAGGUCUUGACAUACUAUGCAAAUCUAAGAGAUUAGACGUUCCCUUCGGGGACAUGGAUACAGGUGGUGCAUGGUUGUCGUCAGCUCGUGUCGUGAGAUGUUGGGUUAAGUCCCGCAACGAGCGCAACCCUUAUUAUCAGUUGCCAGCAUUAAGUUGGGCACUCUGGUGAGACUGCCGGUGACAAACCGGAGGAAGGUGGGGAUGACGUCAAAUCAUCAUGCCCCUUAUGACCUGGGCUACACACGUGCUACAAUGGAUGGUACAACGAGUUGCGAACUCGCGAGAGUAAGCUAAUCUCUUAAAGCCAUUCUCAGUUCGGAUUGUAGGCUGCAACUCGCCUACAUGAAGUCGGAAUCGCUAGUAAUCGCGGAUCAGCAUGCCGCGGUGAAUACGUUCCCGGGCCUUGUACACACCGCCCGUCACACCAUGAGAGUUUGUAACACCCAAAGUCGGUGGGGUA